UUUAUGUUGGGUGAUUUAAAUUUAAAGAUUUAAAAGGUAGUGAAAUUCCAGCAUAGAUUUUUUGUCUUGUUCCCCUGCACUCCAUAAAGCAGGACUUUGUUUGUUCUUAGAAUAAACAGAAUCACAUCAAAGGCUACAUCACAAGUUUUCACUGAGUGACCCACAUGAUACUAAAUUUUGUCUGGCUACUGGGCAGAGACAGCUUUUGAUCUCCUCUAAUAAAAUAGUUCCUCUUUCCCAGCUUUUGUUUAUGAGCUUGAAGGAGGGAGAUGGGAUGGAAGGAGACAUCUGACUUGUCAGACCCCCUUUGCACAAGAGUUACCUUUGACAUCUGUUCCAUAUGAACCCACGGAAGCUGAGUAAAUGGGUGGUGCAUUCUCACUUCCUUGCAGUGGCCAGAGGAAACAAAAUGGGAGGAAAAUGUUGCUGAGAACACUAAAACAUACCACUUUGGCAGAGGUGGUUAUCACAUCCUCCAGGCAUUUUUACCUCUGGUGCUGCCCUGAGAGUUGCAGUGUAUUGUGGAAAUAAAGUGUGAAGUCACUCAGACUGGGUCCUGCUGGUUGUGGAUGAGGCAAUUACAUAAAAUACCUUUUGACAGAGGCUUUAAGGACCUAACAGGGACUCUGGCCACACAAUGACCUGGCUGUAUGUGGCUGUCACUCCCACUUGCCUCUCCUGGCAUUCCCUAAACUUUAACCACAACUUCUGGCUUCAUCACAGUCCCGUUGGUCACUGGGGACAGGCAGAAGAGAUUGUCACUUCAGGCCCUGCCACCACAGUUCCUCUCAGUAUCCUCUGGCUCAGGCUGACCCAUCACCACCUCUGACAUCCUGCCUCAUCCUUUUCCAGGGGAAGAACCACAGCUGGAGUAAAACAGGUGGGCAGUGCCAUGGGAAAACCCUGUCCUGGGAUGCAAUAACCCCCACCCUGUUCAGCUUUGCCACAUGAUUGUGUUUUUCAGCACAGCUCUGCCACAGAGCUCGGGCUGUGUCGGGUCCUGCAGGGCUGGAGGCUGGGCUGGCUCUCCUGGGCCAUUUGGCUGAGUCUGUCACCACUGACCUAAGCAGCAGCAGGUCUCAGCUUCUGAAAAAUCUAUCCAAAUCUGCUGCAAAGUGGAAAUGAUAUGUUAAAUGCUUUAUAUUGGGGCAGUAGCACCCCUUCCUCUUGCAGAAGCAUUUGGAUUUCUGCCCAUGGAGAGGACCAAAGAGAGCAUCAGGAUCCAACUAGGUGAGCAGAUACCAGCACAGCCUUGAUUUUGGCCCGGGCUGGGGCUGCAGCUGCAGCUGACAUGAACUUUCCACCGGUGGCAAUAGGUCAGAGGCAGCUGGGCCUCCUUUCCUCCCCUCUCCAGCCCUCUCCUUUUGGGAGCUGUGGGCAGGAUUAAGAAGAAAAAGCAAUGUAUGGGUCAUGGGAAGAGAGAAAACAGAAGCAGCUCAGCCAGCCGAAGAGGAAACAGUGGACACAGAUGUGUGUGGAAAGCUGAAGCCACUUACAGAGGAUGCAUUUACUUGUAUUUCCUUCCAGUAGAGCUUAAUUGCAAUGUUUUUUAAUGACAGGUACAUGAGUAUUUUGGAGCAGCUCCUCUUUGCAUCCUGUAAUUAAAUGACCAUUAAUGAACGUGUUAGAGAAGGAGCAGCCGAAUGCUCCAGUUAUGGGCAUCCAUAGAAUAACUGCUGGGAAUUCACAGUGAUGUGGCACCAAGUUGCUGCCUGGGCUGCAGCAGCUUCUGGCCAGGGACAGCAGCGUGUGAGCACCCUGUCAUCCCUCCAGCCUCUGCUCUGCUUACAGGAGCUGUAAAUGGCAGCUUGAACCAGUCAGGCAUCUGCUGCCAGCAGGGAGAGUGACAGCCCCAACUCUGUGGUGGACAACGAGAGAUACAGCAGAGCCGCUGCCAGCACCAUGUCUCAGUGGAAUUGGGGUUUGCACUGCCAGGAGCGUUACCGGCUCAUGAUUCACAUCUUUAGAGCAGCUUUGGAAGGAAAAUGUGCUUCUCGCCAGGCAGACCUUCAUGCACGUCGAGAUGCCACGGUUUUUCCAGCCUUUCCAAAGGAAGCCGCAGCCAAAUGAGACAUUCCUUCUCUUCUUCCAGCUUUCUUGGAACAAUCUUCUUUGAUUAGUGAGGGAGACAGAUAGUUGGAAGGAAAGACAGACAGACAGGCUGGGAAUAGGGUUAUAAUGAGCAGUUUGCGUGAGCCUGUCGCCGGUGGGAGGGUACCUCCAUCUGCCCCUUGCUGGGUGGCUGCUGAGAGCCCCUGCUGUAUGUUGUGGUCCCCCAUCCCUUUAUCCUCCUCGUCCCCAGCCCCUGUCCUCUUCUCUGGUACUCCACUCCUGCCCUCCCCCAUGGUCCCCAACCCCUUUGUUCUCCUCUGUGCUCCUCCAUGCUCCUCAAAUCCCUGACUUCCUCCAUGAUCCCCGAGCCCCUGCCCUCUGCUGUGAUCCUCAGUCGUGGGUUCUCCUCAGUGGUCCCUGACCCCUGCCUUCUGUCAUGGUGCCCAGACAGCAUCUUCUGAGGCAGGUGGGGUCUGUCUCACCAGGGAGGAUCACACAGCCCCGAGGCACAAAGCAAAGGAGUUGGGGUUUGCUUUGCUUCUUAGGCCUAUGGCACAAGGAGACAGGUGUGAAAAGCAGCCAGAUGACUCAGGCAUGGCUGGCAGGUCCUGUGCAAGGGACAGAAGCCAAAGCUGGGGUGCAGGGAAGGUGAUGGGAAGUUCCUGCCUUGCUCCCUGCAGCUGCACCCCCCCCAGCCACCCCAGUGCCAGUGCUCUCUCCCACACCAGGAGGAGAAACAAAACAAGCAUCUCCAGGGAGUGUGUUUGGAAAAUAUCAGGUUUUAUUAGACAGGCUGAUGUUCAAGCUGACAGUUUUAUCCCAAUGCACAUGAUCACAGGCAUCUACAGGGCCUGUGUCCCAGCUCCCUCCCUCCCCCCCUCCCAAAAAAGAUCUUGGGCAAGAUGUUCACCCCCAAAUGCUGGGGGGUUGGGGUUUCUCAGCAGAAUGAAAAUGUCUCCCUGCUCCCCAUUUUUCCACUCCUAAAUUCCCAGAGGUCUCCUAAGAAAGCUGUGUGAGAACUGGGCUGGGAACUGCAAUCCCCUUGGGACUGACAGCCACUUGGAUCCGUGGGAGAGGAGGCAUCUCCCUGAGGCAGCGCAGAGCUGGGUCAGGGUGUGUCACAGGGAGCAGGGAACAGACCACCAAUGCCAUGGCUUUGGAAGGAGAACCCAAACAAACCAUAUCAGGGCAAAAAGGGUUUUGGCUGUCAUGGGGGAGCCCCGUUUAGCACACAGGCACUGAGGCUUUGCACAGGGUGUGCAGGUGCUGCAGGGCAGAGGAAGGGAGGAGAGGAGGUGAUGAGGGCUGGAAAAUAAAGCAAGAUAAAAGGAAACCAGAGAAAGGGUGAGGAGAACAAUGGGAGUGGCCUGAGAGCAGAGUAACAGUGCCUUCAAGGUCAGUACUCUUUGUGGGACAGGGGGCCUUUCCCUGGGUAAAGGGGCUUAAUCAGGUAAAAACCUCAGGGGGACAGAGGAACAAGGAGAGAUGGUGCAAUACAGUGCUUGCAAACAGAAAUGUUUAAAGGCCUUUGCUUUCCGUUACAGUGACACACAGUGUGACAGCAGGAACAGUGACAGCAUCAGCCAGUUUCUGUUGGUGAUUCUAUUCCAUUAGCUCUUAAAAAACCAUGCAGACCAGUCCGACAGAGGAGAGAGAAUGACAGAUGGAGAGGAAAACUGAUGAGCAACAGGACUGUGGACAAGAAAGAAGGAACUACAGCAGAGGGGCAGCAGCACUGGGGCAGAGCACAAAAACAUGGAGGGCUGACUGAGAAAAGAGCAACAUGGACUUGAGCAAAGGCAAACUGCCAAACCCUCACCCUUGGAGCCCUGCUGGUCCUCAGACAAGACUUGCUAGCGUGGGUUUUGAGGUUAAUGACACAUGUAGGCAUGAAGUGCCUUCUUCUGUGCUGGUCCGGGGGAGGAAACCCUGCUCACAUCUCUUUGUGAGACCAUCUGAUUUGGGAUGCUGGCCCUCCUCCUCCAGCACAGCUCAGCCAGUUCUGGCUGCUCCUUUCCACCCCAUUUCUUCCUCUGCCAUGGACUUGCAAAUCCCAUCGUGGCUGCCUGUCUGGAACUACAAACACCCCUGCAAAUGCUCCUUCGUAAGUCAAACACCCACAUGAAGGCUGCAGAAGAUCAACUGAGCUGUCAAGUGGAAAAAGAACUCACCAGGUGACCUAGAGGUCUUGGAAAUAAAAACAAGACUGAUAUUUGC